UUUGUUCAAUCCAAAAUGAGAAAUGAUUAAGUGACAAUUUUUAAUCUACUAUAAAAAUGACAAUUUGUUCUUAACCACAAAAUACCAAAGCCCGUCUGAACUUUAAUGUUUUCAUUAGGCGCCACGCCUGGACCUGUCUUAUGCUCAGAGGAGCAUGUGAGAUUUUAGUUAAUGUGGCUUUAGUUUUCAAUGAAGAUUGGACAAUCUUUCAUUUAAUCGCUCGAGCGUUUGCUUCUCUUGCCAUUUUAGAUUAUUAAAGUGCUAUAGAUUUAUUAGCUGAAUUGCAAUUUUAAGUGGACUCGAUUUGAUUUUGAACGAUUUGAUUGGGUCCGGAAGUCAGCUUUUCCAUUGGCAUAAUCGAGUUAUUAAUGAUAACAUGCGUCCGUGGCUGUUGCAGGAUUAGUUGGGAGAUGUUCUGCAUUGGAUUCGGCAGGUAAUGUUGCUAGUGUGUGGAUUGUUGUGGGGUGCAAUACCUUUGGUUGGAGGCAUAUGGAUUGUUCUGUGAGUUGAUUGCUUUUCGCGUUCAUGCACCUUUUUAACCUUCCCCUGUUUCUGUUCUAUGAAAGCUCGAAACUCUUGUAGAGGACUAGGCAUCCCCCAGGGUAAAAAAAAUUAAGGAAAUCAUCCUUGAAUUUGGAUGAUGGCUUAGUCGUGGAGUGAGAAUUUAGAGCUACCAGAGCCAUUGGCAUCCGCGUGAACGAGAUUAUUCUCUACCUCCAAUGCUUGUCCCUUCUCUCUUUCGUUUGAAGGAACCCCACCUCUGUGACGUCCACCAAGUGUUUGUGAAUUUGCCCAAUUGUAUCCAUUGCGUAAUUCACAGAUUUAAAUGUUUUGACUACUGGUUUUGUGAAAUUAUAUUCUCUCUUCUUUUAGUUAUUUUUCUAUUAUGUUGAUGCCCUGGUCAAUCUAGAUGGAUGAGUUUAUUCCAUUUUCACUACUUGCAGACUCGUCCUGGAUGAGAAUUGUUCCUAUUGUGUUUGGUACACAAGCCUAGUAAGGACUUAAGUCCUUCACAGGUUUAAAAGUGCCAAGUAUGGAUGGAAAGUUGAAGUUCACUAUUAAAAAUACUUAAGUGAAAGAAUCUAAUUGAGCCUAACAAAUCACAAGAGAGGCACACAGCAUGGGGGAAGUUUCCAUUUGUAUUUGGAAAUUUGUCAAGUUCCUGUUAUGUACCAUUUGAGAAGGUAAUCUUGUUCAUUUUGAUAUUUUUUUUUCCUCACUGUGCAUGGCUAGAAACUUCCACCCCAUGCAUGAGUGGGUGUGAUUAUGAUUUUAUGGAUUUGCUAUAGCAGGAUGUGUUCGAGUGGGUCACUACAUGGAUACUAUACUUCUUGGAAGAGAGAUUCUAUGUUGAUUUAUCCAAAGUCCAGAGUGUUCUCUCUCUUUCUAGUUUGAUCACUCGUGGGGUAACAAUUUUCCACACCGUUCAUUUGAUGAACUGGAUGAGAUGCUAGAGACAGAAUGGAGUCUCUUCCAGGUUUCAUUUGAAGUAUCAAAAGCAACACUGAGAAGGUGUUGGGUUUCACCUUAUAUGCAAGCAAAUAGAGGAUGGUCAAAGGGUUCUAUGCCAACAUGAAUGCCCUUAGGAAGUUCCUCAAGCCUCUAAAGAUAAUCUUAGUAAUCAGAGACAUUCUUGAAUCAUGGCACAAAAGUCCACCUCUGGAUUGCAACCAAGUUUGAAUAUUAGACAUAAUGCUUACUGUAAUUUGUUGCAUUUGCUAAAUGUUUCCUUGCACUUCAAUUCCAACAAUAUCUGCACUUGUGCCGUUUCCCGAUGAGAGUGACCCUUUUGUCCAUCUUCUGAUGGGUUUCUAAUGGAAUUCUCCUAUGUGACGACCACAGUGGCUGUCACAUCAAGCAACUUCAUCUGGGUUUGUCACGAAAGAUGGAUGGAUGGGACAUUUGUUGAUUUGGCUGGUGCUAAUGCUAAAUUUGGAAAUUUAAUUGUGAGGGAAUACUUUGCAAAUGUCCAAAAGUAUACAUAUACCAUGUAUGUUAUUUAGCAGUCACGAAUUUGAAACUUUUUGCAGCUGAAUUUAGCUUUAGGUAGUUGGGAAUUAUACAAAUGCUUAGAUAUAAAGGGAUAUUAAAAAAAGUUAUGUAGGUCUUUUUCUUGGCCUCAUUGGAAGUAUUGUUCAAGUCACUAUGAUCUUGUGCUUUAGAACUUGCUUCAUUUUUAUUGCUUUUUGCGCUUCACUCUUGGGGAUCCUAUAAUUUCUUCCAGAUUGCUUAUUGUGUCACAAAACGAAGUAUCAAUGUCAAAACACAAGCAGACUGAACAUUCUAGCUCUUUCCUCUCUUUCUUAUUUAUGUGUCUACCAUCUCUUUCAGUUUCCCAUAUUAUGCUAGUUGGAGUGCUUAUAAUGCAAGAUCAUAGGAGUAAAUCAAUUUGAUGUGCAAGUGAGCUUUUCCAAGUUUGUCAUAUGUAUCCUUGAGUCUUUUUUUAACCAAAUUAAUGCAGCACGUGUUAAUUUUACUCUUUUGCAGAGCUUUUGGAUGUUCUGUCUUUAUGGAAGUUUAAGCAAAUAUGAGCUUGACGAGUUCCAUGUAUUUUAUCCCAGAAUUAUUAAUUGUGUGAAAUCUCUCUUCUUUUCCAUAAAUUCAUGAUGUGUAUAGUUUCGAACACGCUAUAUCACAUUGAAGUACCUUUCUAUUGUUUCAAAA